rnacentral:rRNA from 1 species
CAUGCAAGUCGAGGGGUAUGCCGAUUUAUCAGGCAGAGACCGGCGCACGGGUGCGUAACGCGUAUGCAAUCUACCUUUUACAGAGGGAUAGCCCAGAGAAAUUUGGAUUAAUACCUCAUAGUAUAGUGACUCGGCAUCGAGAUACUAUUAAAGUCACAACGGUAAAAGAUGAGCAUGCGUCCCAUUAGCUAGUUGGUAAGGUAACGGCUUACCAAGGCUACGAUGGGUAGGGGUCCUGAGAGGGAGAUCCCCCACACUGGUACUGAGACACGGACCAGACUCCUACGGGAGGCAGCAGUGAGGAAUAUUGGACAAUGGGCGCAAGCCUGAUCCAGCCAUGCCGCGUGCAGGAUGACGGUCCUAUGGAUUGUAAACUGCUUUUGUACGAGAAGAAACACUCCGACGUGUCGGAGCUUGACGGUAUCGUAAGAAUAAGGAUCGGCUAACUCCGUGCCAGCAGCCGCGGUAAUACGGAGGAUCCAAGCGUUAUCCGGAAUCAUUGGGUUUAAAGGGUCCGUAGGCGGUUUAGUAAGUCAGUGGUGAAAGCCCAUCGCUCAACGGUGGAACGGCCAUUGAUACUGCUAAACUUGAAUUAUUAGGAAGUAACUAGAAUAUGUAGUGUAGCGGUGAAAUGCUUAGAGAUUACAUGGAAUACCAAUUGCGAAGGCAGGUUACUACUAAUGGAUUGACGCUGAUGGACGAAAGCGUGGGUAGCGAACAGGAUUAGAUACCCUGGUAGUCCACGCCGUAAACGAUGGAUACUAGCUGUUGGAAGCAAGUUCAGUGGCUAAGCGAAAGUGAUAAGUAUC